rnacentral:rRNA from 1 species
UGCAAGUCGAACGGCAGCGCGGGGGCAACCCUGGCGGCGAGUGGCGAACGGGUGAGUAAUAUAUCGGAACGUACCCAAGAGUGGGGGAUAACGUAGCGAAAGUUACGCUAAUACCGCAUACGAUCUAAGGAUGAAAGCAGGGGACCGCAAGGCCUUGUGCUCCUGGAGCGGCCGAUAUCUGAUUAGCUAGUUGGUGAGGUAAAGGCUCACCAAGGCAACGAUCAGUAGCUGGUCUGAGAGGACGACCAGCCACACUGGAACUGAGACACGGUCCAGACUCCUACGGGAGGCAGCAGUGGGGAAUUUUGGACAAUGGGGGCAACCCUGAUCCAGCAAUGCCGCGUGAGUGAAGAAGGCCUUCGGGUUGUAAAGCUCUUUUGUCAGGGAAGAAAAGGGAGUGGCUAAUAUCCACUCCUGCUGACGGUACCUGAAGAAUAAGCACCGGCUAACUACGUGCCAGCAGCCGCGGUAAUACGUAGGGUGCAAGCGUUAAUCGGAAUUACUGGGCGUAAAGCGUGCGCAGGCGGUUUCGUAAGUCUGUCGUGAAAUCCCCGGGCUUAACCUGGGAAUGGCGAUGGAGACUGCGAGGCUAGAGUUUGGCAGAGGGGGGUAGAAUUCCACGUGUAGCAGUGAAAUGCGUAGAGAUGUGGAGGAACACCGAUGGCGAAGGCAGCCCCCUGGGUCAAAACUGACGCUCAUGCACGAAAGCGUGGGGAGCAAACAGGAUUAGAUACCCUGGUAGUCCACGCCCUAAACGAUGUCUACUAGUUGUCGGGUCUUAAUUGACUUGGUAACGCAGCUAACGCGUGAAGUAGACCGCCUGGGGAGUACGGUCGCAAGAUUAAAACUCAAAGGAAUUGACGGGGACCC